CUGCACUCUGGGACAAGCCCUGGAAACGGGGUCUAAUACCGGAUACGACACACGACCGCAUGGUCUGUGUGUGGAAAGCUCCGGCGGUGCAGGAUGAGCCCGCGGCCUAUCAGCUUGUUGGUGGGGUAAUGGCCUACCAAGGCGACGACGGGUAGCCGGCCUGAGAGGGCGACCGGCCACACUGGGACUGAGACACGGCCCAGACUCCUACGGGAGGCAGCAGUGGGGAAUAUUGCACAAUGGGCGCAAGCCUGAUGCAGCGACGCCGCGUGAGGGAUGACGGCCUUUCGGGUUUGUAAACCUCUUUCAGCAGGGAAGAAGCGCAAGUGACGGUACCUGCAGAAGAAGCGCCGGCUAACUA
rnacentral:rRNA from 1 species